UCGGACGUGGUGCACGGCGCACGCUUGCCCUAAUUAUACCGACAGAAUAUAAGCAGGGAGGCAUGAAACCCGGGUUCGACUCCCGGCGUCUGAA